rnacentral:rRNA from 1 species
GGGGAAUAUUGGACAAUGGGCGCAAGCCUGAUCCAGCCAUGCCGCGUGAGUGAUGAAGGCCCUAGGGUUGUAAAGCUCUUUCACCGGUGAAGAUAAUGACGGUAACCGGAGAAGAAGCCCCGGCUAACUUCGUGCCAGCAGCCGCGGUAAUACGAAGGGGGCUAGCGUUGUUCGGAAUUACUGGGCGUAAAGCGCACGUAGGCGGAUAUUUAAGUUAGGGGUGAAAUCCCAGGGCUCAACCCUGGAACUGCCUCUAAUACUGGGUAUCUCGAGUGCGAGAGAGGUGAGUGGAAUUCCGAGUGUAGAGGUGAAAUUCGUAGAUAUUCGGAGGAACACCAGUGGCGAAGGCGGCUCACUGGCUCGGUACUGACGCUGAGGUGCGAAAGCGUGGGGAGCAAAC